ensembl:lncRNA
CAGAGGUUCCCGAUUAGCACUGUCACAUAGGAACGGUGCAAGAGGAGAGCAGACGAGAGGACAAAUCACAGAAUUAUUCAUUUUUGUUUUUAUGUUUUACGUCAUGAUGGAGGAUACGGUGAUGUACCUCAGGCUUAGUCAAGACCAAGGCCAGGUGAAUGGUCCACGCCAGGGGAGAUUUUACCAACACAAGUCAAACUGUCAGUGAAUUUAUACACACUGGACUCUGUGAGGACGUUGUAAAAACAUUGUCAAAACAUUCGUCAUCAAGCCUCUCUCUCUGGUGGUUACAGCACUGCAACUUUUCAGUGCCGUGACCCCGUUGACCCAAACACCACUGUCAUUACUCUUGGCUGCCAGGAGGUGGGACAGAAUGAAACUUUUAUAGUGCCCCAGAGAGCCCAUUAUCUCUCCAGGAGAAAAGAGAAAAAUAAGGCAGUAAAAUGGUAAACACUGGCCAUUUUGAACAGGGUUUCCCCAGGACUCGCACGAGAGCUCUUAAUGAGUCUUCCACCCAUCAUAGCAACAUGCAGCAUCCUAUCAAGUGCCUCCCAAGUGAAAAAGGCCAAAUA